rnacentral:rRNA from 1 species
CCUACGGGAGGCAGCAGUGGGGAAUUUUGGACAAUGGGCGAAAGCCUGAUCCAGCAAUGCCGCGUGAGUGAAGAAGGCCUUCGGGUUGUAAAGCUCUUUUGUCAGGGAAGAAACGGUGAGAGCUAAUAUCUCUUGCUAAUGACGGUACCUGAAGAAUAAGCACCGGCUAACUACGUGCCAGCAGCCGCGGUAAUACGUAGGGUGCAAGCGUUAAUCGGAAUUACUGGGCGUAAAGCGUGCGCAGGCGGUUUUGUAAGUCUGAUGUGAAAUCCCCGGGCUCAACCUGGGAAUUGCAUUGGAGACUGCAAGGCUAGAAUCUGGCAGAGGGGGGUAGAAUUCCACGUGUAGCAGUGAAAUGCGUAGAUAUGUGGAGGAACACCGAUGGCGAAGGCAGCCCCCUGGGUCAAGAUUGACGCUCAUGCACGAAAGCGUGGGGAGCAAACAGGAUUAGAUACCCUGGUAGUCCACGCCCUAAACGAUGUCUACUAGUUGUCGGGUCUUAAUUGACUUGGUAACGCAGCUAACGCGUGAAGUAGACCGCCUGGGGAGUACGGUCGCAAGAUUAAAACUCAAAGGAAUUGACGG